rnacentral:lncRNA from 1 species
CCGAACACUCUUCUUUAGGUCAGUCACUGAUACUAUUUAUAGUUUUGAUGCCUCGGACUGAUAGUUGGACAAGGCUUAGCUUGUAUAUUACUGCAAUAACAAGGAACCAGAAAUUGUGAGCAUAGGGGGUGGGUUCCAAAAUCCAGUUGCUGAAUUGAGCAGAUCUUGUUAAGUUAUUUUGUUUCUGCUCUCUUCUUUAGGCCAGUCACUGUCUCACUGAUACUAUUUAUAGUUUUGAUGCCUCGGACUGAUAGUUGGACAAGGCUUAGCUUGUAUAUUACUGCAAUAACAAGGAACCAGAAAUUGUGAGCAUAGGGGAUGGGUUUUGGGAGCGGGGGUGGGUUCCAAAAUCCAGUUGCUGAAUUGAGCAGAUCAGUUCGACUGGGCUGUUUCAAUUAGAUACUCAUUCAAUACUGUGGUUCAUUCCAUAUUCCUGGUUCUUCUUUGCCUUAUUCUUUAACGCCAGUCACCCGAUCCCAUUAUCUUCUUCAUUCACCCAACAGCCUGCUAUGCCCAUGCAUUCUCCUGCAACAUACCCUGCACCUGACAUCCGUCCAUUCUCCAAGUCCAAGCACGGAAUGUCUGUCCUUCCUAUUUCCCGUUGCACCUCACAUAAUUCUUGUUUUUUGCUUUCUUACUCUAGAUAGUAAAUGUAUGCAAAGGAUUGAUUAUCAUAUGUGCUUGUAUCGAUAUAUCAUGACUGAUUCAUGGGUUGCUGAGAUUGCAGUGCCAGGUAAUAUUUUGCUGCCAAAAGUUGCAGAAAGUAUGUACCUAGAUAGUUCACCAUUCUGAGCUCCUGAUAACUCAUCAGCGUGAAAAGAAAACAAAGAAUUCUACUCUCUAGGGCUUCCAAUACAAGUUUUAGGUCAUCAUUCAUUUUGUGGAUUGCCUCCAUGGACUACAGUAUUUCCGCUCAUUGUGAGUUUUCCCCCAUGCUUAUGUUCAUUGGUUUUCUUUUUUGCAGAUAAUUGCUUAUUCGCUCCAAUGUUCUUUUAUGUAUAUUCUUUGAAAGUUGGUACUAGGACAAGAUUAAUUAAGGUCCUUGUUGCGGGAGUAUGAGGUCGUGAUUUAGGGAUUUAAGACAAUUGAGAUACUUUCAAGUUGAAAUUCUGUCAAUACAAAUAUAUUCAAAAGUGCUUGACAUAUGAGAGCGGUUCUCUAAGAUUGAGAUAAUUUUGUUGCUUCUCAUAAGGACAUCAGAAAGUUAUAUUUUUUAUGAGCACUGAUGCAGCGUGGAUGCAAGAGUAUAUUAUAAUGUAUUUUAAAGGAUUUAAAACAAUUUUCUACACUCUCAAGCCGAGAUGUAUAUUAUAAGGUAUUUUAAAUUGCUUGGCAUAUCAGCUGAAGGGGUGGUUCUCCACUGCAAAGCUAAAAUUUAUAUUUAUUUAUGAGCACUAACGCAGCAAGAUAUUGGAGAAUAAGGUUCUGAUUGAAGGAUUUAAGACAAGUUUAAAUACUCUUAAGCAGAGAUGUUGUAUGCACAAAAUGUGUUUUGAAGUGCUUCGCUCAGCAGCUACGAGGAUGGUUCUCUAUGAUAAGCUAAUAAGUCACCCUCAU